rnacentral:rRNA from 1 species
GACGAACGCUGGCGGCGUGCUUAACACAUGCAAGUCGAACGGAAAGGCCCUGCUUUUGUGGGGUGCUCGAGUGGCGAACGGGUGAGUAACACGUGAGUAACCUGCCCUUGACUUUGGGAUAACUUCAGGAAACUGGGGCUAAUACCGGAUAGGAGCUCCUGCUGCAUGGUGGGGGUUGGAAAGUUUCGGCGGUUGGGGAUGGACUCGCGGCUUAUCAGCUUGUUGGUGGGGUAGUGGCUUACCAAGGCUUUGACGGGUAGCCGGCCUGUGAGGGUGACCGGGAACAUUGGGACUGAGAUACGGACCAGAAUACAACGGGAGGCAGCAGUGGGGAAUAUUGCAGAAUGGGCGGAAGCCUGAUGCAGAAACGCCGCGUGCGGGAUGACGGCCUUCGGGUUGUAAACCGAUUUCGCCUGUGACGAAGCGGGAGUGACGGUAAUGGGUAAAGAAGCACCGGCUAACUACGUG